GGGGAAUUUUCCGCAAUGGGCGAAAGCCUGACGGAGCAAUACCGCGUGAGGGAGGAAGGCUCUUGGGUUGUAAACCUCUUUUCUCAGGGAAUAAUGAUGAAGGUACCUGAGGAAUCAGCAUCGGCUAACUCCGUGCCAGCAGCCGCGGUAAUACGGAGGAUGCAAGCGUUAUCCGGAAUGAUUGGGCGUAAAGCGUCCGUAGGUAGCAGUGUGUGUCUAUUGUUAAAGAGUUUGGCUCAACCAAAUAAAGGCGGUAGAAACUACACAGCUAGAGUGCGUUCGGGGCAGAGGGAAUUCCUGGUGUAGCGGUGAAAUGCGUAGAGAUCAGGAAGAACACCGGUGGCGAAAGCGCUCUGCUAGGCCGCAACUGACACUGAGGGACGAAAGCUAGGGGAGCGAAUGGGAUUAGAUACCCCAGUAGUCCUAGCCGUAAACGAUGGAUACUAGGCGUUGAGAGUAUCGACCCUCUCAGUGCCGUAGCUAACGCGUUAAGUAUCCCGCCUGGGGAGUACGCACGCAAGUGUGAAACUCAAAGGAAUUGACGGGGGCCCGCACAAGCGGUGGAGUAUGUGGUUUAAUUCGAUGCAACGCGAAGAACCUUACCAGGGCUUGACAUGUCUGGAAUCUCGAUGAAAGUUGAGAGUGCCUUCGGGAGCCAGAACACAGGUGGUGCAUGGCUGUCGUCAGCUCGUGUCGUGAGAUGUUGGGUUAAGUCCCGCAACGAGCGCAACCCUCGUACUUAGUUGCCAGCACUUCGGGUGGGCACUCUAAGGAGACUGCCGGUGACAAACCGGAGGAAGGUGGGGAUGACGUCAAGUCAGCAUGCCCCUUACGUCCUGGGCUACACACGUACUACAAUGCGACGGACAAAGGGCAGCGAGCCAGCGAUGGCAAGCAAAUCUCAUAAACCGUAGCUCAGUUCAGAUCGCAGGCUGCAACUCGCCUGCGUGAAGUCGGAAUCGCUAGUAAUUGCAGGUCAGCAUACUGCGGUGAAUUCGUUCCCGGGCCUUGUACACACCGCCCGUCACACCAUGGAAGCUGGUCACGCCCGAAGUCGUUACCCUAACUUUUCAAAAGAGGGGGACGCCGAAGGUAGGACUGGUGACUGGGGUGAAGUCGUAACAAGGUAGCCGUACCGGAAGGUGUGGCUGGAUCACCUCCUUUUCAGGGAGACCUGCCCACUCAAGUUACCGAGAACAAGUAAAAGUUGUAUAUAGGUAAUGAGUUGGUCAUCCCAGGUCGGUCGUAGGAUGUUAUUAUAGGCUUUCAAACUAUAGAUGGUUCGGCAAUCAUAAAAAAGGCAAAAAAAGCAGCCGAAUAAGUUGUGAUUCAGCAACUUAGCACGAUAUUAAUAGCUAAGACUGCUGGAUGAAAUUCAGCCAGAACCUUGAAAACUGCAUAGAGAAGCGAAUUGUAGGUAGUUCAGUGUAUAUUGAGCAGGAAGAUUAAACUGUUGAGUGUAGGCUGAGUAACAGACAAAAAUGUUAAGGAAGUGGUCAAGCGAAGAAGGGCUUGCGGAGGAUACCUAGGCACACAGAG
rnacentral:misc_RNA from 1 species